rnacentral:snRNA from 1 species
AUGCCUUAAACUCAUGAGUAAGGAAAAUAACAAUUCAGGGUGACACCUGAAUCCUCACUGCUAAUGUGAGAUGAAUUUUUGAGCAGGUAAAAGUUGCCCCUAAGAUGACCUGCCUACUUUGCAGAUGCCUGGGAGUCAUGAUCUGCCCA